AGACACUCUCUCUGCACAUGUCAGACCAUAUCCUUAGCAGAAAUAUUACGUGCAGAACACAAAUCAUGGGCCAAGGAGGAAAGGGACAUUCUGAAGAAGAGGAUGCUCGAGGAAAACCUUGUUCUCUACAACUACCUGAAAGGAGGUUGUAAUGAGAUGGAGAUCAGCCUCUUCUCCUGGAAGUGAAUAUUCAUGAAGAAGGACUCAGCCAAGCAACAGAGCAAGCUGAGACUCUGGAAACAUCUAAUCAAACACACCACAGCAGUCACUGUCACCAUCUGCCAUACCAGAGUCAAGGUGCACCACUACAUCCUCUCCUGGGCUGGAGGCUGUUCCAAGUUUUAAUCAACAUUUGGAAGCAAACAACCACCAGACAGAAUAAAUAAGAAGAUCUCCAUUAUUCUACACUCUAGGUGGCACUUGGCUGGCUUCCACAUUUGUGUGUCUUUGUGCAGCACUGCGCCUUGCAUCACUGCGUGUGUGAUGGGGCUGUCAGAUUCCCCAGAAGCACUGCAGAUUGGACAUCCCCCCCCCACCAGCGAACAGCAUACAUGGUUUGAUGGAGGUUCACUGGAGACUGAAUUCUGAACUGUCUAGUCCAAGCAUCCAUGUGGAUUUUGCAACUGCUUGAACAACCAGUUUUCAUCCAGAAUAAGCUUGAAACCCUCAGUAUUGCAAGGCAGUCUUAAUGGGAACAUGAGGUACAAAAUUUAGGAGAUAGUGAAAGCAGGAGUUGGCACUGGAUUAAAAUUCAGCGCUUCUCCUCUCAUCUGCCUAGAUUUUACACUCUCAAGCUGAAACCUUAAGUAGGAUAAUUAUUUGAAAAUAUUACAGCAAAAGAUGAAUCACUCAGCUUUAUUAAGCUUUAAUGAUUGUUUUGAUUGCUCUGAUGAGAUGACAGGGCUGAUGUGACUGUAUUUACUAGACCACUUUAAAACAGUAUCAAUAAUCUCAACAUUAGACCUGCUGAUCUUCUUGUUCAACACUUGGCCAGCAAUCCAAACUCUUUGAGUCUGCAUUCAGGCUUAUAGAAAAUGUGAUGGCAUAACGCCACAGCCCAGGGAAGUGCUGUCACCCAUACAAGAAUGAUUGAUUCAAGAAAUGAAAAUCAGCACUGCUAGGUUACUGUACCAGAAGCUGGAAAAAGAGAAGCCUUCACAGCCCUCUCCCAUAUGAAAUAAUUUAGAAACACCCUGGAGUUUGGCUGGAUGGACAUUUCCUUUGCAAAGAGAAUCAAAUCCCACUCAUCCUGAUUUUGCCAGAUGGCUCUCCACAUUCUGUUAUGAGACCAGCAACUGCAAUUUCAUCACACUGGAGGGAUUUACAGAUGAGCUAAGAUAUUUUUAUGGCUAAGUUGCUCUACAGAUACACAUGUCCCAGUUCUCUGUUGUGAAGGACUCAGAUUGCCCACACUGUUCGUCACAUUCUUUUUGCUCUGGCAAUAGUGGAAGCACUUCUCAUGGAGUGCUGUAUUACAUAGGAUCAGAUCUUGUGAGCCACUUGCAGUGGUUACUGACUUUUUUUUGGUUCCAUUUUAAACGUUGAAUUACUGAGGUCAAAUACAGUGACCCUGGCCUUCAUUUGGCAUCAAAGGGUGGGAUACAGCCUUUAUGCACUGUGGGAGCUGCAGCUUCAAAAGCCAUAGUGUCAAUACAUACAGGAAAGUGCCUCCAGCACUUAGUCAUUACUAGCAGGGGGAAGGCAGGGUUUUCCUAUAGGUUCCCUGUGGGCCCAGGCACAGAGAACAGCAGCAGAGCAGGAGCGGCAGCUGAG